GCUGUGAUCAGGUAUUGUUUUGCCAUAAACUCUGUUGUAUUUUCCCUUGUUUUAGUUUGAGGCUUCAUUUCAGGAUCCAUACAGCAGGUAUCUGGGCUAAAUGCAAACAGUGGUGGCACCUGCGAGGAUCUUAAUUCAUGAUCCUGGGUUCCUUUAAGCUCCUCUCUGUUAGGCAAGGGAGAUUCCAAUAUCUAUUUGACUCCCUGAUCUAGCUGAGUUUCUCUUUCCAGGAUUUCAAAUCCAUUAGCCGUAGGAAGGAUAUUUGUUUUACUUACAUCUCCUUUCCAUGCAAAACAAUCUUCCAUUCUUGGCUGUUUGGUGUGUUUCGGUCGAGGGAGUAAACCUGGGCUGACGCCAAGCUCAGUUGCAGCAGAUAUCAUGAGUUGUUUAGAAGGGACAGAAGUAAAGCUAAUGGACCUGUAAUAUCCUGGGUUCCAUUUUCCAGCAGAGGAUGUGAUAUCUUCAGCAUAUUUGCAUGGAGGGUUCUGUAAGCCAAAGGAAGUUUUAUCACUAGUUUUAUGCUUGUUUUAAGCAUCAAAAUGCUAUAAAAUUAUGACAGUAAACAUAAUUAUUACCCGGGUCAUAAAGCUGCCAUCAGUGUAGCAUUUUCAUUUAUUGAAAGUAAUUAUUAUAUGUCUAUUGCUGUCCUUCAUCGCUUUAUCUAUUGCUUGCCAGUUUAUUGUGUGAGCUAUCUCUGGAGAUUGUUUUGGUAUGGACCUCCAUAUAUUGAAUUUGACAAAUCUGGAUUCUCCAUAAAAUGCCAUAAUUACCAGGUUAUCUCUUUAACUUUUUAAAAUGAUAAUUGUAUUAAAUUUUACUUAAUGUACCAGUUGCUUUUUUGUAAUAGUGUGGAUUUUUUUUUUGUUUAUUUCAUAUGUAUGCAAUACUAUGCAUGCAUGUAUGCAUGACCAAACCUUUCUGGUCAGCCAGAGCUUUAUCAAUACACUAAAGUUACAACAGUUUGAGGACAUCUUACAGAACCAUGGGAUGUCUACUUUGCUAAGAAGAUACCUAGACUUUUCUACAACAAUAUAUGCAAGGCUACAUGUUCCCAAUUCUCCGUCAGCUUCUUCGCUUGCCCCAGAAGGGUGUGGGAGCCUUCUGCAUGUUGUUGCCUAGCAACACUCAGUCAGCUGCUCCGCUCGCCAGGAGCAAAACAGGGAGGGGCGAGAGCCCUGCUGUGCAUUUCUGCCUAGAGAUUUUGUUAAAUCUUCACCGGACUGAACUUUUUACUUCCACAAUGUUGUUACUGUAAGUUCGUUUUAUGCAAUCCUAUAUUAAGGAGCCCCGAUGGCGGAGUGUGUAAAAGCACUGAGCUGGAGACUGAAAGGUCCCAGGUUCAAACCCCGGGAGCGGUGUGAGCGGCCGCUGUUAGCUCCAGCUCCUGCCAACCUAGCAGUUCGAAAACAUGCCAAUGUGAGUAGAUCAAUAGGUACCACUCCAGCGGGAAGGUAAUGGCGCUCCAUGCAGUCAUGCCGGCCACAUGACCUUGGAGGUGUCUACAGACAACGCCGGCUCUUCGGCUUAGUAAUGGAGAUGAGCACCAACCCCCAGAGUCAGACAUGACUGGACUUAACGUCAGGGGAAAACCUUUAACUUUACCUAUAUUUGUAGUAAAUUUUUAGCAGUUAAUGUUUUUGCAGUCAAUGUUUUGGUGCUAAAUUAAUAUAUACAGUAAUUACUAUGUAACGUUACCAUUUAUUGAGCUGCUUUUUCUGUGGAUUUGUUAUAAAACAUGAUGUUUGGUCCUAAAUUAAAAAAAUACAGUAAUUACUUCAUAACAUUACCAUGUAUUGAACUGCUUUUUCUGUGAAUUUGUUGCAAAAUAUGAUGUUUUGGUGCUUAAUUUGUAAAAUCAUAAUGAAAUUUGACAUUUAAUAAGCGUUUCCUUAAUCCCUUCUUAUUAUCCAACAUAUUCACUUAUCCAGCAUGCUGCCGGCUCGUUUAUGUUGGGUAAGUGAGACUCUACUGUAUUAAUUAUGUAUGUUUUCACUGGCAUUCUUAUUUUGUUUUUGUUCACCUUUGUUAGUUAUCUGAGUUAUAGUAUGGCUCUUAUCAGAUUUGCAGAUGGAACAAAAUGCCAAACCAGUACAAAACAGGAGUCAAAUCCAAAAAAGCAAAAUGUCCUUGAUAAAUUGGAGAAUAGCAUUCUAAGUAACAAAAGAAAAUUCAGCACUGUGUCUCCUUCCCACAUAACUGUUCUAUACUCAGAUGCAUCAGUAAAGUCAUCUCAAUUUCACUUUAGGUAGACAAUACCUUUUUUUUUUUUACAGAGCAACUAGAAUAUGCCAUUUGUCUUCAGUGAGGAUUAUGUACAUGUCUUCGAAUUCAGGGUCUCUUCCAAAAACACAUUUUCUGAAACUAACAUUCAUGCCCCACCUCAUUUAUUUAUUCCUUUCUCCAUAUUGUGUGGCCUUCAGAAGUUGCAUUCUUCUUGGAAUGCAGUUCAGGUCCCUUCAUGUGUUCUACCUAUUUCAGUUCCGGAAGAAUGCUAAUGCUUUAACAGUUACACAAUAGGCACAUGAAAUAUUGGGAUAUUUCGACAAAAAAGAAAAAGAAUUUGAUAUCUAUUACUUGAGUUAAUGACUUCUUUAAAAAAGGGUGGCAUUUCUUGAAUGGGUCAUAAAACAUUAAUACAAAUAAUGUGUAUACAUUUUUGAAAUCAGGCAUCAUUCAUCUGUUAAAGAGAGUAAAAACAAUGUAUAUUUUCUAUUGACCACCCUAUUUUGUAUAUAACAACAACAACAACAACAACAACAACAACAACAACUCUUUAUUGAUUAGUCAAUUUUGAACAUAUCAAAACAUGUGAAACAUACAAAACGUACACACUUGCCCAUACGUACAGUAAAACCAUGUAUAGAGAUACAAAGCAUCCCGCCCUACAGGCCUAGGUAGUUGUGCAAAUACAGAACAAAAAGAUUAAAAUUAAUUAAUUAAUUAAUUAAUUAUUCCCUUAAGGUAAGGUUUGAGUGGGGGCAAGGGUAAGUGAAACUAGUAGCUUGUCCAUAGUAAAUUUUAAAUUUGGAUUUUGUUAAUGGCAUUAAGGUCACAGCUCUCAGAUUCCAUCUUCUCGCAGAUGACCAGCGCUUUUUGCGUAAAAAGAGUCAGUUUUAAAAAAGAGUUUUUAUCAAAACCCUGUAGAAGGAUGUGCAAUUUCUCCUUAUUCUCUAAAUGAGGAUGGUUCUCCAGCAGAGGCUCUAAACAGAAAGAUCUAAUUCUGUUGUAAUAGGGGCAUUUUAAGAAAAAGUGUUCUGAGUCCUCCACUUCUGCAUCUAUCUCACGGCACCCACAGGUUCUCUUUGUAUAGGGGAUAUUCUGAUGUCUACCUAGCUUAGACUUAAUGUCAAGUUGCUCGGAUCUAGCUCAGGUAAAAAGUUUUCUAAUAUAUAGUGGAAGUGUAAAAAAGAGAUAGGUUUCCAUGCACACAUUGCAUUUAAAUUUAGCCAGGUAUGGAGUGGCUCUAGCUUGCGCUAUGAUCAUAAGAUCAUUUUGUGCAGCAAUGUCAAGGGCUCUUUGGUAAACAAUUGAGCACACUUCAGCCCCGAAAUUUAUUAGCUCGGUAGGGGCAAAACCUAACUCACUGACAGUGUGACCAGGUCUGCUUAGCCAUGAUGACCAUUCUUUGUGGUUUUCUUACUCUAAUAGGCAUAUGGCUGGGAGUCUAUGUGGUUGCAUUUGUCUUAUUUUGUACCACCAAUUGAUCUGCCUCUUCAGGAUUACUGUGGAAAUUGGGAGUACUCCCAUUUCUGCUCUCACUGCAGCUGACAGGGAUUUUGUAUAUAUACAAAUGCAUGUAUACUGAUUUUAAUGGGAUUUUCUCACCAACGAUUCUAUGUAAGAAUUCUAUGUGCUUUAUCUUGUAGU